CUUAUCCACACACUGAUUUCUCAACCCAGGAUCUGUAAUACCAAAUAAAACAAAGGCCUUGGUCCCAAAUGAAGUCGUUAGCAAAUAUCUCUUUGCUCUGCUGGGAGUUCUGUUCUCUCACAACAUCUUUCUGAAUUAUCACUUUGUAUUGAGGCAGCAGUUUUAAUCUUUUAAAUGAAGUAUACAACCUCAGAAGAGGCCAGUGGUUCCGAGGGCAGAAGGGAAGGCUGGUUCUACCCUUGUGCUGGGAGAAACAUUAAGAUCGAGAGCACAGCUAUGGGAGUCAGACAGCCUGGAUCUGAAAUUGGUUCCACCACCGGCUAUAGUUAAAUUCUUCCUUGAAGAAUGCAAUGAAAAGUAAGGUGAAAAAGGCAAGGGUGUACCCACGUAUCUCACACUCAGGGUGUGACUGUUUGCAAGCAGAUGUGCCUUCAGAUGGCCCACCAGGUCUGCAGAGUCUACAGAAAAAUGAAAGAUCACUCCAUACCAAGUAUCGUCUCAACUCAGAGACAUCCCUGCCACGCAGCACACAGAUUUAUAACUCUGGGCAAAGGUUUCAACAAAUACGAUUUCUUCACUCCAAAGUCCAUCUAUGUGUAUUGCCUGAAAUACAGAGCGGUGUGUGAUUGUCUGCUGGUCUCUAAUCCCAGAAGCCUUGGCAGCAGAGGCAGGACGAGUUCCUAUAACUCUGGAGACAGAGAUGGCUCACACAGGCUGGUGCUGUGUAAGGGCAUUCAUGGAAUCUAUUGUUCUUUUUUCAAACUGACAUAGUGUCUACACCGACACAGCCCAGAAAAAAGAAACUAUUGUAAAUGAAAGAUCUAAAAUUUGUCUAUUGUAAAUGAAAAGAUCAUAACCCAAAGAUUGGUGAAAACAUGCUCCUUAUCCAGAGAGUCCACGGUAAUGUUUCAAUUGAAGAGUUUCACUCAGAGAAAAAGAAUGGGUUCAAACAACAAACAAAAGACAACAAGAUAAGAGGAUUAGGUUUGAUGGUCUUAAACACACAAGGACGAAGACAAAACUGAUUCCAUAUCAGUGACCUGGGUACAUGAUGUGGGAUGUAAAUCAGAAUCUUCAAAGGCUAUAUUACACUUUCCCAUCCACCUCUUCCAUGAAGACAGGCAAUAGGGAGGUACUUAAAUUUUUUCAUGUCCUAUGGGUGUCACUGAGCAAUUUCUUUCUUAAGCAUCUCCCAUGAAUAUGGCUGAAAUAACAAGUAAAACUCACUCGGGUGCCCAACUGGAGGAAUGUACUUCUAACGUCCAAAGUCCAUGUGACAAUGUUAUCUGAAAAACAUUUGACAUGAACCCAAUGCAAUGAUACUAAACUCACUCUAAUGAGCAGUCCUAUAAAAGGCAUCCAUUUUGGAACCCAGGCCAGAUAUGAGUGAAACUCAAAAAUAAGUAUGACAAUCUGACUUUACCACAAGGCCUUAUGGCAGAGUCCUGGUAUGGUGUUAACCUCUGGAUUACCCAAUCUUGGGAAGGAGCCAACUGGCCUAUAGAACUCCUGAAAAUGAAACACUACCCAUCAUAGGUGGGAAAGUACGUCUGCCUAAGUAACUCUGAUAAGAGGCCCUCAAAAACGGAAAACCACAAAAACGGCAACAAUACUAUAGCUCUUGAGAAGUUCCUUGUCUAGUGGGGAAAGGAGAUAAAAUAUAAAAAGCUUGGGACUUCCCUGGAGGCCCAGUGAUUAAGAAUCUGCCAGCCAAUGCAGGGGACAUGGGUUCAAUCCAUAUUCUGGGAAGAUUCCGCAUGUCUUAAGAGAACUAAGCUCAUCUGUUACAACUACUAAACUCUGUGUUUCUAGAGCCUGUGCUACAUAACAAGAGAGGCUACUGCAAGGAGAAGCCCAGGAAUCCUAAGUAGAAAAAGCCUGUGUGUAGCAAGGCAGACCCAGUGCAGCCAAAUAAAAAAAAACCACACAACAUUUUUUUAAUGUUGUUGUUGUUCAGUAGCGUCUGACUCUGCAACCUGAUGGACUGUAGUACAUAGGGCUUCCCUGUCCUUCACCAACUCCAAGCGCUUGCUCAAACUCAUGUGCAUUGAGUUUGUAAUGCCAUCCAACCAUCUUGUGCUCUGAUAUUCCCUUCUCCUCCUGCCUUCAAUCUUUCCCAGCAUCAGGAUCUUUUCCAAUUAGUGGGCUUUUCGCAUCAGGUGGCCAAAGUACUGGAGCUUCAGCUUCAGCAUCAGUCCUUCCAAUGAAUACUCAGGAUUGAUCUUUAGGUUUGACUGGUUUGAUCUCCUUGCUGUCCAAGGGACUCCCAAGAGUCGUCUCCAAUACCACAGUUUGAAAGCAUCAGUUCUUCAGUGCUCACCUUUUUUUUAUGGUUCAACUCUCACAUCCACACAUGACUACUGGAAAAACCACAGCUUUCACUAUACAGACCUUUGUUGGCAAGGUGAUGUCUCUGUUCUUUAAUACACUGUCUAGCUUUGUCAUAGCCUUUCUUCCAAGGAGCAAGCAUCUUUUAAUUCCAUGGAUGCAGUCACGAUCUGCAGUGAUUUUGGAGCCCAAGAGUAUAAAGUCUGUCACUGUUUCCACUGGUUCUCCAUCUAUUUGCCAUCAAAUGAUGGAACCAGAUGCCAUGAUCUUUGUUUUUUUGAAUGUUGAGUUUUAAGCUAGCUUUUUCACUCUCCUCAUCAAGAGAGGAACUCUUUAGUUCCUCUUGACUUUCUGCCAUAAGGGUGGUGUCAUCUACAUAUCUGAGGUUGUUGAUAUUUCUCCCUUACAAUCUUGAGUCCAGCUUGUGUUUCAUUCAGCCCAGUAUUUCACAUGAUGUACUCUGAAUAAAAUUAAAUAAGCAGGGUGACAAUAUUCAGCCUUGACAUACUCCUUUCCCAAUCUGGAACCAGUCUGUUGUUCUGUGUCUGGUUCUAACUGUUGUUUCUUGACCUGCAUACAGAUUUCUCAGGAGGCAGGUAAGGUAGUCUGGUAUUUUCAUCUCUUGAAGAAUUUCUCACCAUCUGUUGUGAUUCACACAGUUAAAAGCUUUAGCAUAGUCAAUGAAGCAGAAGUAAAUAUUUUUCUGGAAUUCUCUUGCUUUUUCUAUGAUCCAAUGGAUGUUCAUAAUUUGAUCUCUGGUUCCUUUGCCUUUUUAAAUGCAGCUUGAACAUUUGGAAGUUCUCGGUUCACGUACUGUUGAAGCCUACCUUGGAGGAUUUUGAACAUUACUUUGCUAGUGUGUGAGAUGAGUGCAAUUGUGCCAUAGUUGGAGCAUUCUUUGGCAUUCACUUUCUUUGAUAUUGGAAUGAAAGCUGACUUUUCCAAUCCUGUGGCCACUGCUGAGUUUUCCAAAUUUGCUGGCCUAUUGAGGGCAGCACUUUCACAGCAUCAUCUUAUAGGAUUUGAAAUAGCUCAACUGGAAUUCCAUCACCUCCACUAGCUUUGUUUGUAGUGAUGCUUCCUAAGGCCCACUUGACCUCACACUCCAAGAUGUCUGGCUCUAGGUGAGUGACCACACCAUCAUGGUUAUCUGAGUCAUUAAGAUAUUUUUUGUAUAGCUCUUCUGUGUAUUCUUGCCACCUCUUCUUGGUAUCUUCUGCUUCGGUUAGGUCCAUACCUUUCUGACCUUUGUUGUACCCAUUUUUGCAUGAAGUGUUCCCUUGGUCUCUCUAAUUUUCCUGAAGAGAUCUUUAGUUUUUCCCAUUCUGUUGUUUUCCUCUAUUUCUUUUCAUGGCAUGGCAACCCACUCCAGUACUCCUGCCUAGAGAUCCCAUGGUAGACGAGUCUGGCAAUCUACAGUCCAUGGGGUCUCAAAGAGUUGGACAUGACUGAAAGAAAGCAUGCACGCACAGAGAAACGUUUACAUUUCCUGUAAAGUGAUCUGAGUUGGGUGAGCUGAAAGUUGGAGAAUGGACUCUAUCUGGCUGCUUGGAGAGCUCAAGGCCAUAAAAGUGUGUGCUGUCAUUUUAAAAAAUAUAUAUGUAUUUAUUUAUUUGGCUUUGCUGAGUCUUAGUUGUGGCUAAUGGGAUCUUUCAGUCUUUAGUUGUCACAUGUAAACUGUUAGUUGUGGCACAUGGGAUCUGGUUCCCUAACUGGGGAUUGAACCUAGGCCCCUGGCAUUGGGAGCAUGGAGUCUUAACCACUGGACCACCAGGGAAGUUCUUGAAUGUCAUCUUCUAACUGCCUGGUAAAGCUGUUUAUUUUUCAUGGGUUAGUUAGUUUAUAUCCAGGACAGGAUCUGACUAGCCUAAUCAUGAAAAAACUCAGUUGUGUAUUAGAAACUUCUUAUCCUUCUUUCUUUUCUCAUUGGAAAUAUUCAUGGGUCCAUUACUGCUCUGGACUCAAGAGGGAAAAUAAGCUCAGAAAGACAAACUGCAGGCUGAGGUUAUGCCAAGCAUAUCCUCUGGAUAUCUUAUAGUGGGUUUCUUAAGAGAGGCACGAUUUGUUGUUCAGUAAGGGCCACACUCUAGGAUUUUACCCUGAAUUUGGAUACAAUUCAGGAUCACUUCAAUUAUCUUGGAAAUGAGAGUGGUGGUAGCCAGUGGAGAGACUCUUGGAGUUAAAGACAGAAACAUUAUCUAAAGCCACUUCCAGUCUGUAGAUAAAUAAAUAUGCACCAACUGAUAGGAUCAUGCAGAUUUUCUCAUCAGACCUGCUAAUGUAGUAAAUUAAACAGUUUUUAACAGUUCUGUUGAGAUGUAAUUCACAUACUAUACAAUUCACUCAAUUAAAGCAUAUGAUUCAAUAAUUUUUAGCAUAAUCACAUAAUUGUAUAGCCAUCACAAUUUAAUUUUAUAAUAUUUUCAUCACACCAGAAAGAAACCCUAUAUCUGUUAGCCAUCACUAUCCAAUGUCCCUAUUUCAUGCCCAGCCCUAAGAAACCACUAAUCUACUUUGUGUCUUGAUUGAUCUGCCUAUUACAGACAUUUCAUAUAAAUAGAAUUAUAUAAUAUUAUAUUUUGUGACUGGCUUCUUUAAUAUAUCACAGUGUUUUCAAGGUUCAUCCUGUUGUGGCAUCUAACAAGGGCUCAUUCUUCAUUACUGUCAAAAAAGUUCCUUUGUAUGAAUAUAAUACUCUCUGUUUUAUGGAGUUAUCAUUGGUUGGACAUUUGGAUUAUUUCCACGAAUAUAAUACUCUCUGUUUUAUGGAGUUAUCAUUGGUUGGACAUUUGGAUUAUUUCCACUGUUUGGCUACUAUGAAUAAUGUGGCUAUGCAGCACUAUAGCUAAGACAUGGGGACAAUGUAAGUAUCUAUCAACAGACAACUAAGUAUCUAUCAACAGAUAAAGAAGAUGUGAUACACACACACACACACACACACACACACACACACACAGAGUGGAAUAUCAUUCAACCUUUAAAAAUAGGAAAUCCUACCAAUAGUAACAACAUAAAUGGACUUUGAGAACAUUAUGCUAAGUGACAUAAGGCAGACAAAGACAAAUACCGUAUGAUCUAACUUAUAUGUAAAACCUAAAAAUCAAACAAACUCACAGAAAAAGACGUCGGAUUUGUGAUUUCCAGAGGUGGGGUUGGGGGAGAUUGGAUGAAGGUGGUCAAAAGGUACAAACUUUCAGUUAUAAGAUAAAUAAAUACUAGGGAUGUGAUUUAAAACAUGAUGAUGAUAGUUACAUUGCUACAUGAUAUGUAUGAAACUUAAGAGAAUGACUCCUAAGAGUUCUCAUCAUAAGGAAAAACUUUUUCUUCCUCUUUUUCUUGUCUUUGGUAUCUGCAUGAGAUAAUGGAUGCUAACUAAACUAUUGUAAUCACUCCACAAUGCAUGUAAGUCAGAUCAUUAUGCUGUGUACCUUAAACUUAUACAAUGCAGUACGUUAAUUAUGGGCUUCCCUGGUGGUUCAAAUGGUAAAGAAUCUGCCUGCAAUACAGCAGACCUGGGUUCAAACCCUGGGUCAGGAAUAUCCCCUGGAGAAGGGAAUGGCUACCCACUCCAGUAUUCUUGCCUGGAGAAUUCCAUGGACAGAGGAGUUUAGUGGGCUACAGUCCACAGAGGCACAAAAAGUUGGACAUGACUGAGUGACUA
ensembl:lncRNA